ACGGAAGGCAGCAGUGGGGAAUAUUGGUCAAUGGGGGAAACCCUGAUCCAGCGACGCCGCGUGAGUGAAGAAGUAUUUCGGUAUGUAAAGCUCUAUCAGCAGGGAAGAUGAUGACGGUACCUGACUAAGAAGCCCCGGCUAACUACGUGCCAGCAGCCGCGGUAAUACGUAGGGGGCAAGCGUUAUCCGGAUUUACUGGGUGUAAAGGGAGCGUAGGCGGUUAGGCAAGUCAGAUGUGAAAGCCCGGGGCUUAACUCCGGGACUGCAUUUGAAACUGUCUUACGUGAGUAGCGGAGAGGUAAGCGGAAUUCCUAGUGUUGCGGUGAAAUGCGUAGAUAUUAGGAAGAACACCGGUGGCGAAGGCGGCUUACUGGACGAUUACUGACGCUGAGGCUCGAAAGCGUGGGGAGCAAACAGGAUUAGAUACCCUGGUA
rnacentral:rRNA from 1 species